rnacentral:rRNA from 1 species
UACGGAGGGUGCAAACGUUGCUCGGAAUCAUUGGGCGUAAAGCGCACGUAGGCGGCCUAGCAAGUCGGGUGUGAAAUCCCUCGGCUUAACCGAGGAAGUGCAUUCGAAACUACUGGGCUUGAAUACUCAAGAGGGUCUCGGAAUUCCCGGUGUAGAGGUGAAAUUCGUAGAUAUCGGGAGGAACACCAGUGGCGAAGGCGGAGACCUGGGGAGAUAUUGACGCUGAGGUGCGAAAGCGUGGGGAGCAAACAGGG